GGGUGCCGAAAGACUCAUUCAAUAUUUGAAUGAUCUCCUCUGGUUGCGCAUCCUCAAACUUACGGUUAAGUUCGUCAUUCAUAGCUGCUCUCAUCAUAUAACGCAUAGUCGCAAGAUUUUUGAGCCACUUCAUGUAAGUAUCUCUUGCGGCAUGUAGAGCGUUGGCUGCAGAUUCCUCAGGUGCCUCAUCUAUAAGGACAUAUAAAAUCCUCUUAUGCUCCAAGACGAUCUUCAACUUUUGAUACCAGCUAUCGAAGUUGGAUCCGGUGAGCUUGUCGCUGUCCAAUAGCGUACGGAGGGAUAGUGUGUUAGCCAUAACUGAAAGAAAAAUAUAAGUCUAUU
rnacentral:lncRNA from 1 species